AACCCAGCACCUCAAGUGGUCAGGAGGAUUAUUGGGCCUAAAGCAUCCGUAGCCUGUUCUGUAAGUUUUCGGUUAAAUCCAUUAGCUCAACUAAUGGGCUGCCGAAAAUACUGUAGAACUAGGGAGUGGGAGAGGUAGACGGUAUUCGGUAGGAAGGGGUAAAAUCCUUUGAUCUAUUGAGGACCACCUGUGGCGAAGGCGGUCUACCAGAACACGUUCGACGGUGAGGGAUGAAAGCUGGGGGAGCAAACCGGAUUAGAAACCCGAGUAGUCC
rnacentral:rRNA from 1 species